rnacentral:sRNA from 1 species
GCCGGGCGUUGUGGCGGGCGCCUGUGGUCCCAGCUACUUGGGAGGCAGAGGCAGGAGACUCGCUUGAGCCCAGGAGUUGGAGGUUGCUGUGAGCUGUAAUGCCACGGCACUCUGCCCAGGAGGACAGCUUGAGGCUCUGUCUCAAAAAAAAAAAAAAAAAAAAAAGACAGAGUCUCACUAUGUCACCCUCAGUAGAGUGCAGUGGCAUCACAGCUCACAGCAACCUCUAACUCUUGGGCUUAAGUGAUUCUCUUGCCU